UACGGAGGGUGCGAGCGUUAAUCGGAAUAACUGGGCGUAAAGGGUGCGUAGGUGGUUUAUUAAGAUAUCUGUGAAAUUUCUGGGCUUAACCUGGAGGGGUCAGAUAUGACUGAUAGACUAGAGUACAGGAGAGGGUAGUGGAAUUUCCGGUGUAGCGGUGAAAUGCGUAGAGAUCGGAAGGAACACCAGUGGCGAAGGCGGCUAUCUGGCCUGAUACUGACACUGAGGCACGAAAGCGUGGGGAGCAAACAGG
rnacentral:misc_RNA from 1 species